rnacentral:rRNA from 1 species
UACGUAGGCAGCAAGCGUUGUCCGGAAUUAUUGGGCGUAAAGAGCUCGUAGGUGGUUUGUCGCGUCUGCCGUGAAAACCCGAGGCUUAACCUCGUGGCUUGCGGUGGAUACGGGCAGACUAGAGGUAGGUAGGGGAGAACGGAAUUCCCGGUGUAGAGGUGAAAUUCGUAGAUAUCGGGAGGAACACCAGUGGCGAAGGCGGCGACCUGGGCCAAUACUGACGCUGAGGUGCGAAAGCGUGGGGAGCAAACAGG